UCAGAUGAGAUUGGUUGUUAGAUAUUUAGUGGAACGUUUGUCCAGGUUAUGAGAAACAACAUAUUGACACAAAACUCAGGGACUGGCAGGAAGGAAAGUUUGUAUGUGUUCGUGCGUGUUUGCGCGAGUGUGUCAGGAUUAUAAGCUUUCAUUGAAAUCAAGUAUACUCACCAUUUACAUUACUACAGGCUACUCGGACGUCCUCUCGAAGAGAAUGGUUCUACGAUGAGUACUAAAGACUAGUUCUCAGAAAACUGCAAUCCCAAGAGAUUCUAAAGAACUUCAUUAGCCAACUGUAAUCCUAAGAGAUUCUUCAGAACUUCAAUAUCCGAUUUUUGUUUCUCCUCCACCCCAUCAGGGGCGGCGCCCCUGAUCGGGUGGAGGCGCUCCUUAGAGCUUGCAUAGUAGGCGUGUUGGCCUACUGUGCGAGUUCUCUGGGUCUUAAAUAUUUAAGUAGCAGAUGAGUGAGCUUGCUCUGUGGGGUACCUGGAACGACGGACUCAAAGAGUUUGGUGGAAUUGUGUGAAUUGUUCGUGGAGUGAUUUUUUCCAUCUGUUAAAGUGAGGCUUUCCAAACAGUUAUUUUUGUUAAUGUGUAAAAACAGUUAUUGAGAAAGCAUCUGUAACCGUAGACUCAUGAUUGUUUCCAUUGUGUGCACCACCCUGUAAUACCAAUGUUUGUGACCUCAUUAAAUUGACCCUGAUUGUCAGAAAAAGGGUGCAUGAGCUGUUUUAAUAAAAAGAUUCAAGGCUCAAGAUAUUUAAAGCUCUUAAUGGUGUUAUUUUUUUAAUACUGUAUCCAAUUGUUAAAUAUAAAUGACAUUGACA